CUGCACUGGGGACCGUGCCCUCAACACAUGAGCUUUCCGGUGGCAUUUCAUAUCCAAACCCUGAGAGUAGUUUUGUCUGUUUUUUUCUUUUUUUGGAUUGAGGGAGUGCUGACUUCAUAGAAUGAAACGGAAAGUGUUUGAGACGGAUCAAUGUUCAUUCUUUACAUGUUUGAUAGCUUUCAGCAGUGAACCAUCUGUCCUGGGCUUUUCUUUAUUGGAAGUUUUUUGAAUAGUGAUCCAGUUUCCUCACUGGUUAUCAAUCUGUUCAGCUUUUCUCAUUCUUCGUGAGUUAGUCCUAGCAGUUUGUGUGUCUCUAGGGAUUGUCCAUUCAUUAAGUUAUUCAGUUGGUUGUGCACGGUUGUUCAUACAACUCUCUUAUAGUCUUUAUUUUUGUAAAAUUGGUCAUAAUGCUUACUUUUUCAUUUGUUUUUAUUUGUGCUCCCUUUGCUUCUCUCCGUGUCUCUCUUCUUCAGUGCCUUGGAUUUGUACACAUACUAUGCAAAUACUUUACCACUGAACUGCACACCCAAGCCUCUGCUUCAGUCAGUCUGGUGUGCAUCAUAGUGACCACCCUUUUCUAGAAGACAGAAGCAAUUGAAACUACAAAAACUGUCACCUGGGCAACUGACAGACUGCUGGAGGGCAUUUUCUGCUGCAAGAAGCAGCUUCUAUUUUUUUGGAUCCAUCUGGCUGUACUGCCUGACACAAUCGGUGGGAUGGCCCCAGGAUUUUGCACCAGGCUUUUUACCCUUCCUCUCCAGCAACUUCCCCCAGUGCAUCCAUGCACUGAUGCAUCUCAGGACCAAUCUCCAGCCCCUUUCUUCCUUGGAACUCAACCUCUCCCUGUCUACCCAGCCUCUCCUUGAGGUCUAGCAGGCAUCUGAAACGCAACAUGCCCACACAGUCUUGACCACAACUUUCCCUCUGUUGUUCACCAUCUCAGUAAAAGAUACCACUUUGCAACCAGGUCAGAAUAUAGGUAUCCUGUAGCCACACACCAAAGAUCCUGAAGUCACCUUGACUGUUCUUUUUGCCUCCGCUCACAACUCACUUGAGUCUCUCACCAACUCUCUCCAGAAUCUGUCCCCUCCUCACCUCCUCCUCCAGCCCCUGAUUUAGCCCCACCACUUUCCUCUCUCAUCUUGAUGAACAUGGUGGGUUCCUAGUUGAAUGAGCAAAUGAAGAAACGCUGUGAGGGUUGAGAGUAAAAGUAAAAUAAAAACGCAUUGCAAAGUCCA